AUUAUUAUUAUGGCAGGGAUUAUUUAAGGAGGUUAAUUUUUCGGAAUUUACUGUUUUACCCCGAGGUAAAAGGAUGGGAUCGAAAUCGGAUCGAAUGGGCGGAGAGAAGCUUUUCUCUAUAAAACCCGAAGAAAAUCCCACAGGGAGAGAGAGGGGAGUGGAGAAAGAAGCUGAAGGCUGAAGGCGAAAGCAAGGUGGCUUGUUAUUAUAUUUUAUCUUCGUCGUCUUUCGACUUUCGUCGUUCUCUCGCUCGGUCGCGGCGAUCGCGCGCUCUCCGAUGGUGGUCUCCACCACCUGAGGUGGCUCCUGGCAGCCGGAUCAGCGUCUCCGGCGAGGUGCUCCGGCGGCGUCCGCCGGGGAAUGCUGGGAUCCGGGGGAUCGGGCUACGAUCUCCGGUGAUCGCCGCGGCCUGAUCUUGAUCCCUCGCCCGACGCUGGCAUCGGUACCUGGCGGCCAUAUCCGCGCCUCCGGCGAGGCCGAUCUCCUAUCGGGUGGUGUUUUCGCCGUCGCUCGUGGGGCGUGAUCUCUGAUCGGUAGAAGAUCGGUUUGAGCUGAGGAUAGACUAUAGAGAAAGAUCUGGAGAUCUGCUGGUUCUCUGCUGGUUUAGAUGAUGGGUACUGGUGAAUGGAUGGUAUGGUGAAAUGGAGGUGACAUUUUUGGGUACAUUUGCUUUCAUCCAGUGAUCAUUAUUAAGAAUUGCUGAAAUCGUGACUCCAGAUGUUCUUCUGAGUUCGGAAUUUCCCAACAUUAGGCACCACUUCUAUCUGCCUAUGCUGCAUCUGCUGCUUCGAUUAAGGAGUCUUGUCAUCACAAAUAAUUUGCUCUGCAAGGAUUGCUUUGGUAACCUUCUCAGGAGGGUGCAAAUGUCUGCAUUAUCUGUGUUUGAUGUUUAUACAAAAGUGAAGUACAAGAUGGGCAUGAGAUUAGGUAAGAAAUCAGGAACCGGCAGCUCAGAUGCACCAAUUAGUAGGUAUGAGAGGAUUAGUGUCGCAUCCCAGUUAUCAUCAGCAAGAAAGAUUCUAUUCUCUUGUGCUUUCAUAUAAGCAACAUAAUACUCCGAAUGUUUGGUUACUCCUGUCUCUUUUCUUAUUUCAUAUAUUUUCAAUCUUCAGGAUAAUGAGAAAUUCAUGGUCUGUUAAGCUCAUAUAAUUAGAGUCUUUAGAUAGUUUCAGCAAACAUGGAAAUAUUACUUGUAUUGAAAAUAGGUGCUCCUUUAAUUCCUCUCCAGUGAGCUGUGACAAGCCUUUAAUUCUGCUACUCCAAACCUCCUAUUCAUUUGGUACCUAACUACUAGUUGCUUCUAUUCCAUUCACAAAAAUAGUAGCCACUUCAGGUGUUUCUUUCAACUCCAACCCCAGGAACACCACCUUCUCUCAUAACAGUUGAUUUAGCAACUGCUGAACCUCACUGAACUCCAUUGACUCCUCCCCUGCCAUCUCCACCACCUCUGCAUCAUCCAAACAGACCUCCCCAUCUGCAUAUAUCGCUAUCCUCAUCGAUCACCAUCGGAAGCUUGAAUCCACUCUGCUGCGCCAAUUGCGACGUCGUAGCCUCUUCCUGCAUUACCAAGAUGUUCCCUAUCUCACAUGCACGUUUGUAGUAUCCUCCGGUGCAUCGAGUUGAAGAGGUUGAACCAUUUUCCUCAUGGAAAAUAAGCAUCAGACCACCCCUUGCUUCAGUACUGGGGAGGCCAUCACACCUUUUUCUGAUCUUUGUUUCAUCACACCCUUUAUUCAUCCAUGACAACCUUGGCUGUCUAUUUUGAAAGUAUAGCACCAAAACUUACUGAGCUAGCAUGUAUGAACCAAUGGAGAAUAUUAAGAUAGCGGCAGGUGUGUUACUCACUCUUGUUUUGGAUGUGAUUUUCUUACACUUUAUAGUUUUUGGUGCUAAGAUCUUACAUUUUGAUAUCUUCGCAAUUACAAUCAUAUUUGCAAUAUAGACUUCUUGAUUGGUAAGACAAAAUUAUUUGCUUAAAAGUUGGCAUUUGCAUCUCAAGUGCCCAUGACUAGUUGUACGUAAAGCUUCCCUCCCCAAAUAAUUCUAGUUUAUUUCUGCCAGUGUCCUAUGCCUCCUCAACGUAUUUAUGCUCAUUUACUUACUAAUAGCUUGACUUUGGGUAAAAGUAAUAGUACGACUCCAAGGACCUUCCUUCUCUUGAUACUCAUUUCAAUAGUUUCCGGACCAAGAAGAAGCAUAGAGUAUUUCUAGAAUCUUGCCAGGCUUACGGUUCAUUAAGAUGGCAGACAACAUUAAGUACAUAUUAUGAUCGUGAACUGGCACAUAAUAUGAAAAAAAAGUAUUAACAUUCGGCACACCGAACUGAUCAUGUAUCGGAUAUACCGAUAUUGCAAUAACAUAGUACCGAGACAAUGAAUCUUACUCAGGUAGAAAUAUUAAUUUUUGAUAGAGGCUAAUUCAAUACUCUUUCCAUCUAGAGAGAGAGAGAGAGAGAGAGAGAGAGAGAGAGCACCAUUUUGUCCACGUCAAUAACUUAAAAAGUUCAUGUUAGCAUGCUUUACUAGGCCUUCUCCAUAGAAAUGGAGUUAUUAUCCUGAAUACUAGUUACAAGCUUUCUAAAUUUGUUAGUUUUCUAAUAGAGCAAACAAAUACAAAACUAUUUUUUUUAUGAAAACAAUCUUUACAAGCAGUUUUGCUUGCAUCCAAACAUACCUGAAGAUUAACCUGCCCCGCAUCCAAAGCGACCCAUGGCCAUAAUAGAGCAUAUCAAAAAGAGCUCAUAAAACAUGCAGCCAUGGGGAUAAAAGGAUAAAAAUG